GCACUGCUGAGGAAUUCCAUAAUAGGACGAAAUGGCCGUCCAGUGC
rfam:Schistosoma mansoni, Puerto Rico, WGS project CABG01000000 data, contig: 0044